UUUUUCAUUAAAAAGCAGUAAAUAAUUGAUAGUGCAGGGAGAGGAACUGCAAAAGCUUUUCCCCAUGUUUGGAGAGUCCACCCAUGUCCCUUCCAAACCCUGACACUUUGGGACA